rnacentral:rRNA from 1 species
AACGAACGCUGGCGGCAUGCCUAACACAUGCAAGUCGAACGAGACCUUCGGGUAUAGUGGCGCACGGGUGCGUAACGCGUGGGAACCUGCCCUUAGGUUCGGAAUAACUCCCCGAAAGGGGUGCUAAUACCGGAUAAUGUCUUCGGACCAAAGAUUUAUCGCCUUUGGAUGGGCCCGCGUUGGAUUAGCUAGUUGGUAGGGUAAAAGCCUACCAAGGCGACGAUCCAUAGCUGGUCUGAGAGGAUGAUCAGCCACACUGGGACUGAGACACGGCCCAGACUCCUGCGGGAGGCAGCAGUGGGGAAUAUUGGACAAUGGGCGAAAGCAUGAUCCAGCAAUGCCGCGUGAGUGAUGAAGGCCUUAGGGUUGUAAAGCUCUUUUACCCGGGAUGAUAAUGACAGUACCGGGAGAAUAAGCUCCGGCUAACUCCGUG